GCGGCAGCCUGAGGGGGCAGGAUGCGGGGAGGGGGCCUGGUGUGUGCAGGGUGCAGGGGUCUCUCCCCCUCCCCUGGGGGCACCUGCUCCGUGCUGGCUGAGGACACCUCUCCAUUGGCCUUGACCCCCUCAAGAUGGACUCACUGUCCCUGCCUGUCCUUCCAGAGGCCCAGGCGCAGGAGGCGGGGGACCACCAGCUCCCUUCUUCCCUGCGGCCCUGGGGACUCUGGGACACCAGCUCGGGUGAGAGGAGUCAAGGUGCAGGGGGACCGUGACUCCCUUAGCAGGGUUUCCUUUUGACUGGCUGGAAAUCGCUCUCCUGAAGGCUGCCCAGACUUGUCCCCCACCCAAGGCUCCCUUUCCUGUCCCUCCCAUCCCUCGCGCCCCGGCUGCUGUGUCCCCACCAUGCCCCGGUGUUGAUCCCAGGGCCUACUCAGAGUGCAGUGUGAGCCAAGCAGGGCCAUGGCCACGGGGCCACCCAGUCCCGGUGCUGGCUGGUUUUCUGUAGGAAUUGUCCCCGUCCCCUGGUUCCCCAGCCUCCCGGCCUCCUGUGCAUUAGAGGCAGAUGUGGGGCUCGGGACACCGAGGCUUGGGGCCCAGGGUGGUGGGCCUGACACCCAGAAGGACCCACCCUGGAAAGCCACACUGGGGGCUCAGGGCUGACCAGGCUCUGACACCACAGUGGAGAGUGGCCCAGGUGGCCCCAGCAGCAGACCACAGACCUUCACACCUGAGGGUACAGGGUGGGCUGCCGCCCCAGGUGCCCAGGGCGGGCUGGGGGGGAGCAGGGUUUUGCUCCAACAGGAAGUAGCCAGUGCUCUGCAGGUGCCCCCAGGACACCUUCCCCUGCUCUUGGCUCCCUGCAGAACCCCUGGGAUCAAAGCCUUCCUCCAGCACCCACCAGGGGUCCCGAACCUCGCUCACUGGCCUUCCUGGGCCAUAGCGGAGGCCACCAGGCAGGGUGGGCAAGGUGCCCUUGGAAAAAUGCACCUGGGGAUGGGACAGGGGCCCUCUUUGAUGUGGGCUUCACGGAGUCACCCUGCUCAGAAGGGUCUGGCCCUCCCGGUGGCUACUUGGCCUCGGGCAGGUGGGCAUAGCUCAGUGCCCGGUGUGUUAGGGUGGGAAGCUCACACUUGCCCCAUCCCCAGGGGCGGGAUUUGAACCCAGGAGCCCGAGGCUCUGAGGCCCAUCUACCCCCACUGAGGAGGGGUGCCCGGGAGACCUCCUCAGUGGACUCUAGAGGCCGCUGUGCUGUCCUGCCUGGGAGGUUUCAGGACAGCUGUGGUUGCACUGUUUGUGGCCUGGUGCCACCUGCCCUCGUACCUUGUCACCAUGGCAACCACACCUGUAAGAAUGAAGUGGGUCCAGCUGUGGUGACACAAGCCUGUCAUCCCAGCAGCUCAGGAGGCUGAGGCAAGAGGACUGCGAGUUCAAAGCCAGCCCCAGCAACUUAGCGAGGCCCUGAGCAACUCAGCGAGACCCUGUCUCUAAAUAGAAUAUAAGCGAGGGCUGGGACGUGGCUCAGUGGCUAAGUGGCCCUGAGUUCCAUCCCCAUCUCUGACCCAGGCUCUGCCCCUGGCUCUGCACCGGGGUCCCCGUCAGAGGCCCAAGUCCUCGGUGUGUGAGUGGUGCCCGCCCCUGGCCUGGUCACCCUCUGAGGGUCCUGCUACUGUCCUCAUCUGCUUGCUCUCUAAUAGAUGGGGUUGCUCUCCAUCACAGGUUUUCACUCCCCCAGGCCAUGAGUGGGUGGUCAGGAGGCUGGACCACAGUCCCUCGAGCUGGCUCUACUUUCCAUUUGGGGUUCUAAGUAAGAUGUGGAGACCAGAGGUGAAGAGGCAGGGGCAGGAGGACAGACCACGGGCUUCAUCUCUGGGGCGGUCUGUGGCCCUCACUGAGCGCCCACUGUCUGCCGGGCUCUGCCCAGGGUGGGUGUCGCACUAGAGUUUUUGGAAGCAGAGGACUUCUUGACUGGAGGCCAGAGGAGGGGACAGAGUAGCGGUGGGUGGUUACUUGGGAAGUAGCUGGUGUUGGGUGUGUUGGGCACAGUGGACCCAACCACAUGGACAGGCCUCCAACGCACCCUGGGGCUGGAGCCACAGGAGGUGGGGAGGGGGUGCAGCCGCCUAUCCCCGAGUGGGCCCUCCCGGCACCCGUGGAUGGCCACUGUGGCAACUGGACCACUUCUGGCACCUCAGCCCUGCUGGCUGCUCCAGGGUCCGUUGGGAUCAGGGGGAAGUUACUGCUUGGCCCCGGUGGCCCUGGGAUGCAGGCCAGCACAGGGGCGGGCUCUGCCUAGGCCAGCGAGGACCUGUCCUCUGAGUCUGGGCAGAGGAGGACUUCCAGUCCAGGAGCACAGGCUGGCGAGGCCUCACUGACCUUGUUGGGUGGCCUCCACUGUAAG
rnacentral:lncRNA from 1 species